AAACGAUAACGACAACGGGAAUAGGGGCGUAUAAGUAUUUUUGCAUCCCUCAUGGAGGAGAGUUUCUCUUCAUUCCCCUCUUGAAUCAUCUGUUUCACGAUUUUUCGCACCAAAUCGGCACAUUCUUUUGAAUAAAUUAAUAUACAUGAAUAAAAACAAAAAAUUAAAAAAAAUGUUUAUUAUACAUCAGUUUCAAUACAAGCAAUUUGUUUGAUGAACUCAAUUUUCCAGGACAGUCAAGUGCAAAAUAAAAUUAUGGCUAUACUAAAUGAAAUUUUGGAUAAUCAAAGGGAACUUUCGGUAAAGCAAGAACUUUUAUUUAAAAAAAAAUGGCUCCUGAAGGCCAAGUGACGAUCACUUUUAACCAAGGAUUAAUGAGCCGUCAGCUGGAAGGUGUUGAAAACAAAUCUUUAGAUAAAUCGGAAAUGCUGGCGCAAAGCUAAGGGAAUAUAAGAUUUCGAUCAAACACAAAGAGCGGUCGGUGAGUCUCAUGACGGGAGAAUCGAAAGACAGUGAAUUCGAUGAGGUUGCAAGUCUUCUCCCUAUACAAUCGUUUGAGGCAAUACUUGAGGUGGAACAAAGGCUAACAAAACCCGAAUUCGUGCAAGCGACAACCACAUAUGUAUGUAUGUUCACUGAUAAGUAGUUUACUAGAAGAGAGAGGAGACAAACAAGCUGUUAAACUUCUAAUUGUGAAAAUUUUAAGAGCAAUGGCCUCCUCCUCUCGCGGACGGAGAUGGAAUCGAAGAAGGAAGAAUGGAUACGGAAGGAGGGGAUAAAACGGACGACGAAUCAAUUAAAGGUGAAUUGGAUGAGGAGUGAUAAACUGGAAAAGCUGG